AGCUCCAAGAGCGUAUAUUAAAGUUGUUGCAGUUAAAAAGCUCGUAGUUGAACCUUGGGGCCGUCGGGCCGGUCCACUUUUUGUGAGCACUGGACACGUCGGCCCUUUCCUCCGCCUUCUUUUUGAGGGCGGACGUAUUACUUUGAGUAAAUGAGAGUGUUCAAAGCAGGCGCACGCUUGAAUCUGUUAGCAUGGAAUAAUAGAAUAGGACGUAUGGUUCUAUUUUGUUGGUUUCUAGGACCAUCGUAAUGAUUAAUAGGGACGGUCGGGGGCAUCAGUAUUCAGUUGUCAGAGGUGAAAUUCUUAGAUUUACUGAAGACUAACUACUGCGAAAGCAUUUGCCAAGGACGUUUUCA
rnacentral:rRNA from 1 species